UUCCAGAUAUAUUAUGGACAAAGGUGGUGUAUAUUUGUUAGGGGUUAUUCCAGUUAAUAAUGAAGGAGGAGUGAUGUCUAGGUCAGAUAUUAAAGAGAUAAAACUAUCAGCACAGCUUCGCCCUCGCCUAAAGCCAUAUUGGACAUUGGGAAUGAUGUGAUUAGCUUCAACAUACCAGUCAAGACGGACUUUUAACAUUGUUUCAAAAUUUUUACCAAGACAUGAAGAUAAGGAAAUCGGUCUAUAUGAGCUAGCAAGUUCUGGUGCCUUGUCUGGUUUGAGUAUUGGAAUAACACACUGUGUUUUCCAAGCCUGUGGAAUAGAGUUGUUAAGCCAAAGUAGAUUGAGGAUAUAUUUUAAUGGAGAUGUACAGCGUGCUUGAAGAGCGGGUAGUGAAUGAACGAAUGAUAGCGAAAUACAUUAACUUAUUAAGCUGUGAUACUUAGCGCCUUAGAAGGCUAGCAUCCUUGACAUUGCUCUAAAAUAAUUGAAAGGCCUGGCCUGAACAAUUUCUUUAUAGUAUUAAAUUUUGAAACUAUUAGAAUUUUGUUAUUGCCGAAAUUCCUCACUUUGCUUGAUUUUUGAAUUUGUAACACGUAUCAUUAGUAAACAACUUUCCUAGGGCGAUGUGUCUAAGAAGUGACGAAAAUGAAACUAUUUGGCUAAUUAUUUAUUAUUGCGAUAGAAUUAUGCUAAGUUUUUCUUAUUUUUGGAAACAUUUUAACCAUAUCCUUUUGCUAAUAUAAGUUGAUUUUAUUUCAAUACCUGGUUGUUUUAUUUCUGAUUAUAUUGUGCGACGUACAGGAACACUUUCCGUCAACAUAAUAUGACCGAAAAACUUGAAUAUUUCUCAUAUUUAUGUUUAAAUUUUAAUUUAAAUAGCAUAUUUGACUAGUUAAUUACAUAUUCUUUGAUACCAGAUUAAAUUUAAACAAUUUCAUUUAAUCCCAAAAUUAUAUUUCCUGAUCGUCACGAGGUCAAUUUUUGUGAAAAUCACCCACAUGAUAAUUUUCUUGAGAUUUUCAAACUUUUUUAUGACCUUUGUUUUCCGGAAAACGAAUAUUUAUUCGAUUACUCAAAAAGGCUAAGUGGAUAUCACGUGGUAUAAAACAAUGUAUAAAAAAGAAAAGAAAACUUGUUUGGUUGUAUAGGCAUAACCCUUCUUUAAUAAACAAAAAUUAUCUAAAGCAAUACUCUAAAAGAUUAAAGAAAAUCAUAAAACUUACACAGAAAGCACAAAAUUCAUUUAAUAUAAAUAACUGUUAAUAAAUCAAAAACCACUUGGCAACUAAUAAACCAGUCUAAAAAUUAUAAGCCAAAAAACUUUAUUAGCACGAUUAAAGUAGGCAACAAAUUUGUGACGAACCACAAGCCAUAGCUAACUAUUUUAACAAUUUUUCAAAACUGUAUUGGAACGCUAAAGUUAGAAUUUUGAUUUCCUUAAGCUUGUCCCUCAAGGAUUCCCUCGGGCGCAUUUUAUAUAUAGCACGAAUAGCCCUCUUCUGCAGGAUGAAAAUCAUUUCGAUAUCGGCAGCAUUGCCCCAUAGCAAAAUGCCGUAGGACAACACAAAGGUAGUCAAUGAGUCGCAUUAUGCUCUGUAAUUGGAAAACUACCUAUGAAAAUAACUGAAAUAAACCAGAUGUGCCGUAUCUUCAUUAGUAUACGUUCGUAUUUCUUUUACCGCAAACGCUGCAGAACCAAGUCUAUUCGCUAACUUGCAUAUGUGAGGACCCCACUGCAGCUUGGAAUCAACUGUUAUACCAAGAAAAACUGUCGAAUCCACAAGCUCCAGUGUCUCUCCACUUACAGUAAUAUUAGUCUACUUGUCUAACAUUAGGUGUGGUAAAUUUUAUACAUUUUUUUUGUUAUUUAAUAACAGAUUAUUAACACUAAACAAAUGUACCACGCGCGAGAUAGCAUCAUUCACAUCGUCAUAAUCUUCCAAUUGUCGUUUAAUUUUAAACCAUAAGGAUGUAUCGUCAGCGAAUAAUACGACCUCGUGACGGGUUUCAAUAAACUUUGGUAAAUCAUUGAUAUACACCAGAAAUAGGAAUUGACCCAAUAUGGAACCCUGAGGAACACCCAUAUUAAGUAAGACACCGGAAGAUCUCUUUCCUUUAAAGUCUACCUUUUGUAUUCUUCCGAAUAAAUAAGAUUUAAUAAGUUCUAAUGAAACGCCCCUAAUACCAUAGUGGUGUAAUUUCCUCAAUAAUGUAUUAUGUUCAACAAAAUCAAAAGCUUUAGAUAAAUCGCAGAAUACCCCAAGGGCAUUAUGCGGUUCCUCUCAAGCCUGAAGAAUAUUUUUAAUAAGAUCUACACUUGCAUCAGUAGUUGAAUGACUUCUAGUGAAUCCAUAUUUUUUUUUUAUGAAGCAGGUUAUUGGAAUUGAAAUGGUUCGAAAGUUGUUCCAAAAUAAUUUUUUCAAAAAUUUUACUCAAUGUUACCUACAUUGAGUAAAAUUGUACUGAAAUGGGUCUAAAGUUAGAGGGGUCAAAAGUACUACCAGAUUUAAACAAAAGUAU